AACGCACAUUGCGCCCCUUGGUAUUCCGAGGGGCAUGCCUGUUCGAGCGUCAUUACAACCCUCAAGCAAUGCUUGGUGUUGGGCCGCGCCGCUGACCCGGCGGGCCCUAAAACCAGUGGCGGUGCCGUCGGGCUCUGAGCGUAGUAACUCUUCUCGCUAUAGAGCCCCGGCGGAUGCUGGCCAGCAACCCCCAAUUUUCUAUGGUUGACCUCGGAUCAGGUAGGGAUACCCGCUGAACUUAA
rnacentral:misc_RNA from 1 species